UACGGGGGGGGCAAGCGUUGUUCGGAAUUACUGGGCGUAAAGGGCUCGUAGGCGGCCAACUAAGUCAGACGUGAAAUCCCUCGGCUUAACCGGGGAACUGCGUCUGAUACUGGAUGGCUUGAGUUUGGGAGAGGGAUGCGGAACUCCUGGUGUAGCGGUGGAAUGCGCAGAUAUCAGGAAGAACACCGGUGGCGAAGGCGGCUCUCUGGGCCUUACCUGACGCUGAGGAGCGAAAGCGUGGGUAGCGAACAGG
rnacentral:rRNA from 1 species